CGGAACGUCCGGACUCUGUGCUACAGGGGGGCCCACGAUGGGCCAUGCGCAAUUGGCUCGCCGCAAAAAAUUCGCUUCGCGGGCACACGCGCGCGCGUGCGCUAAAUGUUAUUGUCAAACAACGCCGUGGGUGGAAUGAGAGAGCUCCUUCAAGGCCGACGCGGCUCCCCUCCGUCUCGAUGAUCACCCGACGCGCCUGAGAAAACCUUUGCCCCGUUAAACCUGAGCCCGAAGGCAAUUUGGAGCAGGGGUUUUCGAGCGGAAGGAGACGUGAAUUUUAAUGGCAGUGAGUGCGGUGGUGGUGGCGGCGGUGGUGGUGGUGAUGAUGAUGAUGAUGACAAUAAUAGCAGCAGCAGUAGCAGCAAAGCGAAGACAUUGACAAUAGCAUCAGCAUCGGCAGUUAUGGGUAAAAAACAUAAGAAGCAUAAAUCGGAGAGACGCGACUACAAAGCCGGUCUGUGUGAGGCCGCAGAGCGGACGGACAAACCGCUCCGCCUCGUGCUCAAGGUGGUGGGCGCCGCGGUGCCAUCCCUGACCACCAGCUCACCGGCCGCACCCACCGCUGCCACCGCCUCCACCGCCUCCACCGCCGCCACCGCCGCCACAACCACAACAGCCUCGAACGUGACCGCCACCGUGACCACCGACACCACCAACACAACCGCCGCCGCCGCCGCCGCUUGCACGGCGCACGAGGCGCCGGUGUGCCCGCCCCCAGUCUCCGCCGCCGCAGCCUCCAAGGCCGGGCCCUCGCCUUCGCGGGGCUCGGCUGACGGCCCGCGACCGGAGCCGGACGCCGAGCCGGAUCGGAACGCUGACUCGGACCGGCACCGCGAGCGCCGGAAAAAAAAGAAGAAGAAAUCGGAGAAGGAGAGGGAGCGGCGGCCCGGUGAUGAGGAGCGCCGGCGCAGGAAGGUGGAGAAGAAGAAGCAUCGCGAGAAGGAGCAGAGCGGCAGCGACGCCGACGAGGAGUUCUCUCCACCCAAGAAGGUGGAGGUGAAGGCGCCGCCGGUGCUGGAGCGGCCCCUGCGAGCCUGCCGCAACAAGGACCAAGGCCAGGAGCUGACGCCGCUGCAGCUGUUACUUGAGCAUCUUCUGCAGCAGCUUCAGAGGAGGGACCCGCACGGAUUUUUCGCGCUGCCUGUGACAGACAUGAUCGCCCCGGGCUACUCCAUGAUCAUCAAGCACCCGAUGGACUUCAGCAACAUGAAGGACAAGAUCGAACGCAACGCCUACCAGUCGCUCACCGAGUUUAAGGGAGAUUUCAAGCUGAUGUGUGACAACGCGAUGACCUACAACCGCCCGGAGACCGUGUACUACAAGGCAGCCAGAAAGCUCCUGCACACGGGAUUCAAGAUGAUGUGCAAGGAGAAGCUGCUGCUGCUCAAGCGGAGCAUGGUAUUCAUGCACAGCAUGGACCGCUCGCAGGAGGCCGCCAUCUACGGCGAGGGUGGCGGCUGCUCCUCCUCCUCUCCGCUGCUGUUGCUGCUACCCGGUGGCGGUGGUGGUGGUGGUGGUGGUGGUGGCGGUGCCGGCGGCGGCGGCGCCAGCGACCACGGCUCCCUCUCGCCCGCCGAGCGCUCCGAGGCCGGCUGGCGAGCACGCAAGUCCGGCAGGGACCCACUGAGCUUCCCCGCGGCGGCGGCGGCGGCCUACACGCCCGAGUCGAGCGCGUGCAGCCUCACGGACAGCACGGGCGAGGAGGACGUCACCGCCCUGGCCGAGCACGCGGCCGACGAGGCACGCGAGCGCCUGCAGCACAGCCGUCCCCGGAGCAAGAUCGGGAUCCUCCGGCGGGACUGCGGUGGCUCCACGUCGCUGGCGGUCCUCAACCCUUCGGAUCCGGACACCGAGGAGGAGGAGGUGUAUCCGGUGAACAUGGGCGUCCUCAUCGGAAAGAUUCAUCCAGGAAUCCCGGUGCCUCCCGGCUUCAGGGACGACCGCCGGGGAAAGCUCAGGCCAGUGACGUACCUGAACUACGGCCCCUACAGUGGGCAGCCGCCGCUGCCGCCGCCGCCGCCGCCGCCACAGCCCUACGGAGGCCCCCUCGCCGGCCUGCUCGACGGCGCGGCCUCCUCCUCCCAGCUGCUCUACUCCACGUACGGGGACGACGCCGGCGUGCAGUACGCGCUCAGUCUGCAGGAGUUCGCCAAGGGCUGUGGGGAGUACGCGGCACGUGUGGUGGACGACCUUCUCGACGCCCUCACCAGCGGAGACCACUCGCGCACGCUGCGUCUGCUACACGAGAUUCCCACGCUGCCGUCACAGAAGCAGCAGCAGAAGGAGAAAGUGGAACAGGUCAUCGUCGCUGCCCUGGCAGAAGAAACGCAGAUCAAGGCCGACCCGGGCGUCAGAAAGGUCUGCCAGCCGAGCGCCGUUGAUUUUGCAUCGUUUGAACUCUCGCCGCUUGAACCGUUUGGCAAGGAGAAGGCUGAAGGGAGCCAACAGGCCAGGCCAACGUCCGCCAUCUUGCAGGAGCCGCAGAUGCCUGGGGCCAACCACGGCGACGGCCCGGCCACGGGCCUCGCCGCCGCCCCCGCCGCCGCCGCCGUGGCCGCGGGCGACGUGGCUCCCAAGGCGACGACGACGAUGAUGGUGGUCGCCAUGUCGGCUGCCGGCACCGGGGUCCGGCCGUGCCCCGAGGAGGUGCCACCCCCGAGCCUCGUGCCCCCACCACCGCCUCCGCCGCCGCCACCUCUCUCUCCCUCGCUCGGGUCGCCGUCGCAGCUGAGCGCCAACGAGGUGGAAGAUGACGAGAUCGACCGGGAGCUGCGCGAGUUCCUCCAGUCCCCGGGCUCCGACAGCGCCGCGUCGUAGCGGCACCACGCGGGCGGGCGCCGGCGGCCGGCGCUGUGAUGUCGUCCCCCUCCCCACCCUUCCCCCCCAAGUCUGCUGCCCGUUCGUGAGGACACGCGACGUCAAUGGGGUCACGGGCCGGAGGACAUCGGGUGGAAUCGAAGCGAGCGCCCGUUGGCGAUGGCUGUGUCGAGCGACGCUGGUUGGAUCGUAACGGGCGACGCUGGUUGGAUCGUAGCGGGCGACGCUGGUUGGAUCGUAGCGGGCGACGCUGGUUGGAUCGUAGUGGGCGACGCUGAUUGGAUCGUAGCGGGCGACGUUGGUUGGAUCAUAGCGGGCGACGCUGAUUGGAUAGCAGCGGGCGACGCUGAUUGGAUUGUAGCGGGCGACGCUGAUUGGAUCGUAGCGGGCGACGCUGGUUGGAUAGUAGCGGGCGACGCUGAUUGGAUAGCAGCGGGCGACGCUGAUUGGAUCGUAGCGGGCGACGCUGAUUGGAAAGCAGCAGCGGGCGACGCUGAUUGGAUCGCAGCGGGCGACGCUGAUUGGAUCGUAGCGGGCGACGCUGAUUGGAUCGUAGCGGGCGACGCUGAUUGGAUCGUAGCGGGCGACGCUGAUUGGAUCGUAGCGGGUGACGCUGAUUGGAUCGCAGCGGGCGACGCUGAUUGGAUCGUAGCGGGCGACGCUGAUUGGAUCGUAGCGGGCGACGUUGAUUGGAUCGUAGCGUGCGACGCUGAUUGGAUCGUAGCGGGCGACGCUGAUUGGAUAGCAGCGGGCGACGCUGGUUGGAUCGUAGUGCUGAGCAUUAACGGGAUCCUAGCAUGCGACGCUGAUGAGAUGCAUUUUCCGGGGCGUCUCAACCAAGGCCUGCCCGGCUCAGCGACCCGGCAUGCAAUGUCCAGUAUCGCUCGUGCUGUAGCUGAGGCUUCUCUUCUGCAUUGUACCGGCGAGCCGUAACAUAUCUCAACAGCAUCGACCUGGAAGACGUCCGGCGAGAAAUGUAAGUCCCCGGCGUCGCUUACGACGAGCGAGGGCGAGAGGUUUCCGUCUGGGAAAUGGAACGCGUCGUGGGACGUGCUUUUGACUCCACUGGUGGCUCAGGGACAACGUGACGGUGGGGGGGGUGGGGGGGUUGGGACAGUACAGCAAGAAGGUUGUCAACUUCUUCGAAUCGCAGAAGUUUGAGUGGCUCACCUCGUUACGUGUCUGGAGGUUUCUUUUUUUUUUCCCCCGGGAACUCCGCCCACGCGCGGCAAAACAAAACCCGUCCAUAUCUGCCGAAUUAUUCAUUUAUUUUCAUCUCAGCAUCAGCAAAGAGCAAGACCCUCCUCUGAAUGGGUCUUGAGACUCGGCGAAGCUUCCCUGGGUGAAUGGCAAAUUCUUCUUCUCCUUAUUAUUAUUACUACUGUGAUUGCUGUGAAGCUUGAGAGUGCACAAGGAAGCGUGGAGGGGUGCACGACGAGUGGACACGGGCUGGGAUGACAGCAAGAGGAGCACUCGGAUUAGCAGAACGUAACCGCACAGCGAAACGCUUCAACGUCGACUGUUCAUAAACGUUACCGCGGCUUGGGCACGACGCGUCGCUGGACGGGGAACUUCACGGCCGGCGGUGGAGACCAACGACGGGAGUGGCAGCAGCCGAAGGAGGGCGCACGCACGCGCCCGAGAGAGCGCAUCCGCCGCGGAGACGGAGCGAUGAAAUCCGCGCGUGUGCAGGCGCUAGGUGGAUUGCAACGCCGCGGACCGUGAGAGGAGGGGGGGGGGGGAGGGGCUUGCGGGGAACCUUCAGCGGGGGAUCGAUCGUGGCCGACGAUGGCGGUGACUACGACGAUCUCGAGGAGGGCCCCUGGCCCUUCUGCCACGGCGGGAGCCGGAAGGCGGGACGCAGAUCCGGGGUUGAAUCCGACGACGACGUGGCAGUGAAGCGGCCGAGUGAUUUGUCUAUCGCGCUGUGACAGCCAACGCAAGGGGAAGCCCCCAGGACAUUGAGGGCUUCAGGGCCAAGUUCCGCUACCCCUCCCGGGCGCGCGUGGUGUCACGUCUUCGCCGAACUGCCCGUGGAAGCAGAUAUCACGGAGCCGAUCCUGAGUUCCCAUGAGCGGAGACGCUGGACUCCCGUGUGCUCUUCCAUGCAGUUAAGUUGAAUGCAUUGCAGUCAAACUGAAAGUUUUGAUUGUUGAAUUGUUCUGCUGUUGCCAAAUUACUUGAAAAUCAAAUGUGAUGAUGCACGUGCAGUCAGUCGUUAGUGACUGGGCUGAGACCAUCAAUUCGCUACACUGUAGAUCCCGGUUUAACUUUUUGGUGGCCAACCGACCAAGCAGAUCGCAAUAGGAAGGUUGCGAGUUCAAAUCCUGGUUUGGGUGGGGUUGACUCAGCCCACCAUCAUUAUCCCUCCCUCCGGGUCAAUAAAGUGAGAACCACUUUGCGGGGGAAGUCAACAGCGGUUUUACUAGAGAGAGACUCGCCCCCCCCCCCUUCCAUAGCAAUGUGGAAUUUCCACCACUGGCUCAGGGCUGGAAACAGGAGAUGAGUAUUGCCCCAAUACUCAUUUGAGCAGGAAAGCACUUUUGACUGGUCGAUUUUGGGUGGCCAAUACCCGGAUUCGAACCGAGGUUCUCGGCGAUGUUGGCUCGGCGUCUUUGACCUGAGCCACUCGCCCACCUGACAGUCACUCGGGUUACUGUGUUGUUGAUGAACAUGUGACUUACAACGUGAAAACAUGAAUACGGGCUUUCUGAAUAACCAUAACUUGAUGGUAAAUUCUACUGCUUAAGGUCACGGGUAAAUAGGUGGUCACGACACGCAGGGAAGGUUUGGUUACAGGGCUUCCCAGAGGUUUCUGAAGGCCCUGGGACAGGAUCCCACGUGGUGGCCCUCUUGUUCCUGGAGGCCUGGGACAGGGUGCCACGUGGUGGCCCUCUUGUUCCUGGAGGCCUAGGACAGGAUCCCACGUGGUGGCCCUCUUGUUCCUGGAGGCCUAGGACAGGAUCCCACGUGGUGGCCCUCUUGUUCCUGGAGGCCUAGGACAGGAUGCCACGUGGUGGCCCUCUUGUUCCUGGAGGCCUGUGACAGGAUCCCACGUGGUGGCCCUCUUGUUCCUGGAGGCCUGUGACAGGGUGCCACGUGGUUGCCCUCUUGUUCCUGGAGGCCUGUGACAGGGUGCCACGUGGUGGCCCUCUUGUUCCACCAUCCACAGGCCCCGUUGUGAGGCCCUCAUUUGUAUGAUGUCCCUGGGAAAAUUUGCGCCUUUGUCCCCCCCCCCUCUCCUUUGGGCAGCCGUAAGUUGGUGGACCGCAAAGAGAUGGACCCAUUAUGUCUCUUGGACGUUCAGCUGCAUGACAAAGAGGUGGUUGCUUGCAGAAGGCAGUACAGCAAGUAGGCUACGGAGAGUCCACCUGCGAGGCAGAAUUUGAGUUUUCUUCCCCUUGAAUGCGCUCGGUUGUGUGUUUUUUUUUUGUUAAAUAGCACUACGGUUUCCUGGAACGAGAAAGAGAAAUCUUGUUCGGGGCACCAAUUCUGUGCCGCUUUCCAUCAAAGUGUUCGGUAUCAUCAGUACGGAAGCUGACGGGGCACUGUCGGGCCAAAACGAGUUUGCAUAUUUUUGCCAAAUGUCCUCUCAGCGCGUGUGUUGCGUCUGCAGGCUCUGGGCGAUAACGCUCUGAACAGCGUGGCCCGUUUUUCUCCAGGGCGAGCCCCAAACGGCGACCCAACUUGGCGCUGAAGCUUCGUCCGUGGCGGAGCGUCGUUGAAGAGCGUUUAUCGUGACCCUUCCCCCCGUCCCCCGUCCCCCGUGUUGCAGAUGGACCGAGCUGACACCAAACAUCCCAGUGUAGCAGGGCCCUCCUGUAAAAAAAAAAAGAGUCUUGUGGCUCUCCUGUGUAAUAAGCACUCGCUACGACGGCCGUGUAUUUAUAAGUGGAUGUACAUACAUUUUACAUUUAUUUACGAUGCUUUUCUUUUUUGUACAAGCCUUCAUAUUUCAGAGAAAAAAAAAUCCGAACCAAUUAUUUUUUCAUACUCUACAUUUAGUAACAUAUCACGUAUUAAAUAAACACUUGAAUCGUGCUUUUUGCCAUCCUUACAUUGUUACAGCUCUCCGCGGGCACUAGCGUAGCGCGAAGUCAACUCCAGUUUGCGCCGAUUUCGAACGGGCGGCGACGUGGGCCCAGCGGCGGCGCGCUCGCCACCCGUUGCAGAGCUUCACGCCGCGGUGGCAAAUAUGUUAACUACCUCGCCAGGUUUACAGGAGAUCAUUGGUUCAAUCCCGACCCCGAUGCCUGUGUACUUGAGAGUUUGCGUGAUCGCAUGCAUUUUUGCACGGGUCUUGCGGUUUUUCCCCCUCCGCAUUUCGAAUCGACGUCACGCGUUUAGAGUGUUUGGCUGCUGUACAUUUCCACGUGACAAGCCACUUCGCUGAGCUGUCAUUUGUGGCCAGGUUGCUUCUGAAAAAGAACUGGACAACUCAAUGGGCAUUACCUGGUAAAAAAACAUUUAUUUUAGUUUUUUCACCGUUCGAAUCCAGCUGCCACCCCUGUUUAAUACCACGGUGGGCGUAUUAACCAUGAAAUACCACCACGACACGCCGUCUGCUUCACGGUGGAUGUUAUAGAUGCCGUGACAUCGUUCACAAGGGUACGCCACUGUGUGUGCCGGCAUCACGGUCCAAAUUUGGCAAAAUGUGAAAAACUACACCGCAAACUACUCGCUUGAAAUCUCCACAAUAGCAAUCAUCGACUCAAACUCCACCCCCCCCCGUCCCUGGCACACCGACUGCGAAAACUUUACUUUACAGGACCCUCCGGAAAAAAAAAUAUUCACGAACCAAAAAAUGUGAAGCGUAAUAAUAACCCUGACCGCCUUUCCCUCCCCGUAUAAAUAAUCCCGCAGCGAUGCAUUUGUCUCCAUGUAAUAUUCAGUCGCCCCCCACGUGAGCGGGCUGCCGAGUGCCCAGCAUCCAUCUGUCGGGUUGAGUUCUCGCCCCCCCCCCCGCCCCACCGCACGCUCCGCGGAGGUUGACAGAAAGCAAAAGUGAAAGAAGGAGGCCGCGCGGAGAUGAAUCUUUAAUUGGCGUCACCGCCGCCCUCGCGUGCGACGCAAACGCAUCGUGCACCCCCAGCGCGAGCCGCGAUCCUCCUCAGCCUCCUUCCGCUCGCUCUCUUGAAGCUCCAACGAACCGGCCCACCACACCUGCCCGCCUGAGAACCACCUUCCCCACGAGGUCCUUUUCACCGAGCCCCAAGGGGCAGUGAAUGAGGGGCAGAGGAUAAGGAAGGCGGUGGGGUUCAAGGACGCCCACAAGCCCUCCCCGAAAGCGUGGUGACGUCGGACUUCGAGACCGGGAGGAGCAGCGGCCUGCCGUACACCCGACGUCUCGACUCAGAAGUUUGGGACGCCGCCGCCCACACCAAAAAAACAAGAGCAGAAGGGAAGCCGAACCCGGCACUGACAGCGGAUGCCACUUCCGCCCGGGACCGCGUGGCAACCCCCCACGCCCAAAGAUCUGUGGAUCCAGAAUUGGACUUCUCGGCCACCUCAAGAGCAAAGCGUCCAAAGCUGACGGGCGUCGGUCUUCGAACCCCGAGGGACUGCCGACGACGAGGUGCCCUCUCUUUCCGGCCACUCAUUCCUCGGCCCUUGCACCGCCCCUGCCGUCUAAAUCACUCCAUUGUUGUUACCGCUUUUAAAAAAAAAACUUUGUUUUCGAGAGCGCCUUGGCUCAAGGCGCUCGCUGUAACAAAUUUUGAAUAUGAAGUGAGAAUGCAAAUGAUCAAUUCACCUGCCGGGUGAAAAGCCUCCCAAAGUCCAGCGUCGUGAAACCGCUCGGCCAACCGGCCACCGCUACGCGUUUGUUACCACAAGUGCAGCGGACGUCUGGUUCACCAUCGUCAUCCACGUCAACACCGUGCGGCGUAAUCAUUCAGCCAGCGCCUGCAGAAAAUAUACUUUCGUUAUUUAUGGGGGGAAUUAGAGAACAACGAAAUAAAAGUACGUGUGUAUUUUGAACUUCUUUCGCACCGUACGUAGCCAACCGUGCUCAUCGGAGGUGCGGGACUGAAAUUACGAUUGAUGACGAUGGGCGACGGUAAUGGACAGGGCGGCGUCCCAAGGAAGGGACAUGCAACUCGCGCGUCGACCGCCGCCGGGAGACGGAGCGACGACAUGGGCUCACGUGCGGCUGCUCGACGGAUCGCCGCAUCGCGAAACCCACGAGAUAUGGCGACGGCUCGGGGAGGCCUCCAUCCAGCAGUGGAUUGAUCGUGUCUGCAGCUGAUGACGAUGACGCUGCUGCUGCUGUUGCUGAUGGCCAUGAUGAGUCAAUGACACGUGCGCAAAAGGGGGGAAACACGGCUUCGGAGACCCGCGUCGUGAGCGCCAACGUCACGCGCUCUGGUGCGAGAGAGCGAUGGAAACGCGAAUGAAAUUUGACUUUUGAGAUUCAAAAACGGUGGUGGUGCUGGGGGGGGGACAUUUUUUUUGGGUCAAAAUAGAGAAACAGAAAUUCACGCGUGAGACCGUAGCCUGCAGAGCGCACGAAUGAAGUGGAAAAUGUGACACCUUGUUUUUAACACGACGGGAACUUAUUAAAGGCGGUCUCUCGACUCAGCUGAGUUGACGGUUGA